rnacentral:rRNA from 1 species
CCUACGGGAGGCAGCAGUGAGGAAUAUUGGUCAAUGGGCGGAAGCCUGAACCAGCCAAGUCGCGUGAGGGAAUAAGGCCCUACGGGUCGUAAACCUCUUUUGCCGGGGAGCAAGGGCGGGGACGUGUCCCGGCCCGGAGAGUACCCGGAGAAAAAGCAUCGGCUAACUCCGUGCCAGCAGCCGCGGUAAUACGCGGGAUGCGAGCGUUACCCGGAUUUAUUGGGUUUAAAGGGUGCGUAGGCGGGCUUUUAAGUCAGCGGGAAAAAUUUGGGGCUCAACCCCGUCCGGCCGUUGAAACUGGGGGCCUUGAGUGGGCGAGAAGAAGGCGGAAUGCGUGGUGUAGCGGUGAAAUGCAUAGAUAUCACGCAGAACCCCGAUUGCGAAGGCAGCCUUCCGGCGCCCUACUGACGCUGAGGCACGAAAGUGCGGGGAUCGAACAGGAUUAGAUACCCCAGUAGUC